rnacentral:tRNA from 1 species
GCCUGGCUGGCUCAGUUGGUAGAGCAUGGGACUCUUGAUCUUAGGGUUGUGAGUUCAAGCCCCACGUUGGGUG